UCAGCGACUUAUAUUCUGUAGCAAGGUUAACCGCAUAGGGGAGCCGAAGGGAAACCGAGUCUUAAUUGGGCGUUAAGUUGCAGGGUAUAGACCCGAAACCCGGUGAUCUAGCCAUGGGCAGGUUGAAGGUUGGGUAACACUAACUGGAGGACCGAACCGACUAAUGUUGAAAAAUUAGCGGAUGACCUGUGGCUGGGGGUGAAAGGCCAAUCAAACCGGGAGAUAGCUGGUUCUCCCCGAAAGCUAUUUAGGUAGCGCCUCGUGAACUCAUCUCCGGGGGUAGAGCACUGUUUCGGCUAGGGGGCCAUCCCGGCUUACCAACCCGAUGCAAACUGCGAAUACCGGAGAAUGUUAUCACGGGAGACACACGGCGGGUGCUAACGUCCGUCGUGAAGAGGGAAACAACCCAGACCGCCAGCUAAGGUCCCAAAGUCAUGGUUAAGUGGGAAACGAUGUGGGAAGGCCCAGACAGCCAGGAUGUUGGCUUAGAAGCAGCCAUCAUUUAAAGAAAGCGUAAUAGCUCACUGGUCGAGUCGGCCUGCGCGGAAGAUGUAACGGGGCUAAACCAUGCACCGAAGCUGCGGCAGCGACACUUUAGUGUUGUUGGGUAGGGGAGCGUUCUGUAAGCCGUUGAAGGUGUCCUGUGAGGGGUGCUGGAGGUAUCAGAAGUGCGAAUGCUGACAUAAGUAACGAUAAAGCGGGUGAAAAGCCCGCUCGCCGGAAGACCAAGGGUUCCUGUCCAACGUUAAUCGGGGCAGGGUGAGUCGACCCCUAAGGCGAGGCCGAAAGGCGUAGUCGAUGGGAAACGGGUUAAUAUUCCCGUACUUGGUGUUACUGCGAAGGGGGGACGGAGAAGGCUAUGUUGGCCGGGCGACGGUAGUCCCGGUUUAAGCGUGUAGGCUGGUUUUCCAGGCAAAUCCGGAAAAUCAAGGCUGAGGCGUGAUGACGAGGCACCACGGUGCUGAAGCAACAAAUGCCCUGCUUCCAGGAAAAGCCUCUAAGCAUCAGGUAACAUCAAAUCGUACCCCAAACCGACACAGGUGGUCAGGUAGAGAAUACCAAGGCGCUUGAGAGAACUCGGGUGAAGGAACUAGGCAAAAUGGUGCCGUAACUUCGGGAGAAGGCACGCUGACACGUAGGUGAAGUGAUUUACUCACGGAGCUGAAGUCAGUCGAAGAUACCAGCUGGCUGCAACUGUUUAUUAAAAACACAGCACUGUGCAAACACGAAAGUGGACGUAUACGGUGUGACGCCUGCCCGGUGCCGGAAGGUUAAUUGAUGGGGUCAGCGCAAGCGAAGCUCUUGAUCGAAGCCCCGGUAAACGGCGGCCGUAACUAUAACGGUCCUAAGGUAGCGAAAUUCCUUGUCGGGUAAGUUCCGACCUGCACGAAUGGCGUAAUGAUGGCCAGGCUGUCUCCACCCGAGACUCAGUGAAAUUGAACUCGCUGUGAAGAUGCAGUGUACCCGCGGCAAGACGGAAAGACCCCGUGAACCUUUACUAUAGCUUGACACUGAACAUUGAGCCUUGAUGUGUAGGAUAGGUGGGAGGCUUUGAAGCGUGGACGCCAGUCUGCGUGGAGCCGACCUUGAAAUACCACCCUUUAAUGUUUGAUGUUCUAACGUGGACCCGUAAUCCGGGUUGCGGACAGUGUCUGGUGGGUAGUUUGACUGGGGCGGUCUCCUCCUAAAGAGUAACGGAGGAGCACGAAGGUUGGCUAAUCCUGGUCGGACAUCAGGAGGUUAGUGCAAUGGCAUAAGCCAGCUUGACUGCGAGCGUGACGGCGCGAGCAGGUGCGAAAGCAGGUCAUAGUGAUCCGGUGGUUCUGAAUGGAAGGGCCAUCGCUCAACGGAUAAAAGGUACUCCGGGGAUAACAGGCUGAUACCGCCCAAGAGUUCAUAUCGACGGCGGUGUUUGGCACCUCGAUGUCGGCUCAUCACAUCCUGGGGCUGAAGUAGGUCCCAAGGGUAUGGCUGUUCGCCAUUUAAAGUGGUACGCGAGCUGGGUUUAGAACGUCGUGAGACAGUUCGGUCCCUAUCUGCCGUGGGCGCUGGAAGACUGAGGGGGGCUGCUCCUAGUACGAGAGGACCGGAGUGGACGCAUCACUGGUGUUCGGGUUGUCAUGCCAAUGGCACUGCCCGGUAGCUAAAUGCGGAAAAGAUAAGUGCUGAAAGCAUCUAAGCACGAAACUUGCCCCGAGAUGAGUCUUCCCUGAGACUUUGAGUCUCCUGAAGGAACGUUAAAGACGAUGACGUUGAUAGGCCGGGUGUGUAAGCGCAGCGAUGCGUUGAGCUAACCGGUACUAAUGAACCGUGAGGCUUAACCUUACA
rnacentral:rRNA from 1 species